rnacentral:rRNA from 1 species
AUUGAACGCUGGCGGCAUGCCUUACACAUGCAAGUCGAGCGCGAAAGGGGGCAACCCCGAGUAGAGCGGCGGACGGGUGAGUAACACAUCGGAACGUGCCCAGUAGUGGGGGACAACCUCGAGAAAUCGAGGCUAAUACCGCAUACGACCCACGGGUGAAAGCGGGGGACCGCAAGGCCUCGCGCUAUUGGAGCGGCCGAUGUCCGAUUAGCUAGUUGGCGGGGUAAGAGCCCACCAAGGCGACGAUCGGUAGCUGGUCUGAGAGGACGACCAGCCACACUGGGACUGAGACACGGCCCAGACUCCUACGGGAGGCAGCAGUGGGGAAUUUUGGACAAUGGGGGCAACCCUGAUCCAGCCAUG